GGAAGGAUCAUUAGCGUAUGAUGAUGGUUUUCAGUGCCAUUGCGGUUAAAUGUGGAUCGUGUGUGUGUGUGUGUGCGUUGUGUGUGUGUUGGAUGCACGCCGCGCGCGCAGGCUGAGAAAGGGCGCUCUCGCAGUGCUUUUCAUUUUGAAUCGAAUCGGAUCACAACUGGCUAACGUCGAACAAUUCUAUAAAUAUACAACAACAACUCUUAGCAAUGGAUAUCUUGGUUCCCACAACGAUGAAGAACGCAGCGAAAUGCGAUACGUAAUGCGAAUUGCAGAAUUCAGUGAAUCAUCGAAUCUUUGAACGCAAGUUGCGCUUUCGAGAGCCCUCGGAAGCAUGCCUCUCUGAGUAUCGGUUUCCAUCUCAGACGCGCGCCCCGUCGUCGGAACCACAUCUGUGUGUGUUCAUGAUGGUGGGGGGUGUGUGUGGAUAGUGGGAGUCGCUUCGUGCGUCUCUUGAAAUUAUGCGCGCGUGUCCGCCCGUGACACGCGCACCACCACCACAAGUCCAUCGGAUUCUUGGAGCAUAAUCCGCCAUGGCACCCGGGAAACAACCGCCCCAAGAUCUCAGAUGAGGUAAGACUACCCGCCGAAUUUAAGCAUAUAAUUAAGCGGAGGAAAAGAAACUAACUAGGAUUCCCUCAGUAACGGCGAGUGAAGCGGGAAGAGCUCAAACCGAAAAUCUCUGCCCGCCUGCCGGGCAGCGAAUUGUGGUCUAUGGAGGCGUGCUCAGCGUGCGGCGCCGGCCCAAGUCCGUUGGAAAACGGCGCCUGGGAGGGUGACAGCCCCGUCCAUGGCUGGAUGUCCGCCGCGUACGAACCGCCCUCUAAGAGUCGGCUUGCUUGGGAGUGCAGGCCAAAGCGGGUGGUAAAUUUCAUCCAAAGCUAAAUACGUGUGGGAGACCGAUAGCGAACAAGUACCGUGAGGGAAAGAUGAAAAGAACUUUGAAAAGAGAGUCAAAAGUACUUGAAAUUGCUGAGAUCGAAGGGAUGGCAUCUAGUAUUGGCCGGGGGAUUCCCGGGUGAGGGCGCGGGUCCGUCGCGGUCGCAAUUGGCUUGGUGCCUUUGCGGGCGCGCUGUCGGGUUCCCGUGCGUCCGAGCCCGCCACGUCCCCGGGCCUAGGUCAGGAUGGAUUUCGGGUGGUCGAGAAUUGCCCCGGGAAGGUUGCUGGCGCGCGCGCCAGACCUUACAGACCGGGGCGGAUGGAUCGCCGGAGAUCGAGGCGCGAAAACGCACGUGUGUCUUUCGGGGGAUGCUGGGGGCCCCGCGCCAUGGUGGGCUGGUGCCGGCGGGAUGCAAUGCCUCGCGUCGGUGUCCAGUCGCCAGCGCGGUGCGGUCGGCCCACUUGUGCGGUUUGGGAUCCUGACGAAAUGGUUGUCAUUCACCCGUCUUGAAACACGGACCAAGGAGUCUUACAUGUAUGCGAGUGAUCGGGUGGGAAACUCGUUCGCGCAAUGAAGGUGAUGGAUUUCGAUCCGGGGAUCGAGGACGGGCGCGCGCGCUUCGGUGUGUUGCCGUCCGCAGAUCCGGGCGGCCAAAACAACGGUACGACCCCGAGCAUAUCUGUAGGGACCCGAAAGAUGGUGAACUAUGCUUGAGCAGGACGAAGCCAGGGGAAACUCUGGUGGAAGUCCGAAGCGAUACUGACGUGCAAAUCGUUCGUCUGACUUGAGUAUAGGGGCGAAAGACUAAUCGAACCAUCUAGUAGCUGGUUCCCUC
rnacentral:misc_RNA from 1 species